AGCAGUCGCCGCGGUAAUACGUAGGGUGCGAGCGUUAAUCGGAAUUACUGGGCGUAAAGCGUGCGCAGGCGGUUAUAUAAGACAGAUGUGAAAUCCCCGGGCUCAACCUGGGACCUGCAUUUGUGACUGUAUAGCUAGAGUACGGUAGAGGGGGAUGGAAUUCCGCGUGUAGCAGUGAAAAGCGUAGGUAUGCGGAGGAACACCGAUGGCGAAGGCAAUCCCCUGGACCUGUACUGACGCUCAUGCACGAAAGCGUGGGGAGCAAACAGGAUUAGAUACCCCAGUAGUCCCUGUCUCUUAUAC
rnacentral:rRNA from 1 species